AGAGUUUGAUCCUGGCUCAGAACGAACGCUGGCGGCGUGCCUAACACAUGCAAGUCGAGCGCGAAUGGAGCAAUCCUAGUAGAGCGGCGCACGGGUGCGUAACACGUGGAUAAUCUGCCUGGGUGUCUGGGAUAACCAGUCGAAAGAUUGGCUAAUACCGGAUAAGCCCCCGGGAGCUUCGGCUCUUGAGGGAAAAGGUGGCCUCUGUAUACAAGCUAUCACAUCCAGAUGAGUCCGCGGCCCAUCAGCUAGUUGGCGGGGUAAUGGCCCACCAAGGCAACGACGGGUAGCUGGUCUGAGAGGACGAUCAGCCACACUGGAACUGAGACACGGUCCAGACUCCUACGGGAGGCAGCAGUGGGGAAUUUUGCGCAAUGGGCGAAAGCCUGACGCAGCAACGCCGCGUGUGUGAUGAAGGUCUUCGGAUUGUAAAGCACUUUCGACCGGGACGAAAAACCCUCUGGCCAACACCCAGGGGCUUGACGGUACCGGGAGAAGAAGCACCGGCUAACUCUGUGCCAGCAGCCGCGGUAAUACAGAGGGUGCAAGCGUUGUUCGGAAUUAUUGGGCGUAAAGCGCGUGUAGGCGGCUUUGCAAGUCGGGUGUGAAAGCCCUCAGCUCAACUGAGGAAGUGCGCCCGAAACUGCAGAGCUUGAGUGCCGGAGAGGGUGGCGGAAUUCCCCAAGUAGAGGUGAAAUUCGUAGAUAUGGGGAGGAACACCGGUGGCGAAGGGGCCACCUGGACGGUAACUGACGCUGAGACGCGAAAGCUGGGGAGCAAACAGGAUUAGAUACCCUAGUAGUCC
rnacentral:rRNA from 1 species